GACGAACGCUGGCGGCGUGCCUAAUACAUGCAAGUCGAGCGGACUUGACAGAGCUUGCUCUGUUCAAGUUAGCGGCGGACGGGUGAGUAACACGUGGGCAACCUGCCCUGCAGAUUGGGAUAACUCCGGGAAACCGGGGCUAAUACCGAAUAACAUUGAAAACCUCAUGGUUUUCUUUUAAAAGGCGGCUUCGGCUGUCACUGCAGGAUGGGUCCGCGGGGCAUUAGCUAGUUGGUGAGGUAACGGCUCACCAAGGCGACGAUGCGUAGCCGACCUGAGAGGGUGAUCGGGCACACUGGGACUGAGACACGGCCCAGACUCCUACGGGAGGCAGCAGUAGGGAAUCUUCCGCAAUGGACGAAAGUCUGACGGAGCAACGCCGCGUGAGUGAAGGAGGUUUGCGGAUCGUAAAACUCUGUUGUUAGGGAAGAACAAGUAUCGGAGUAACUGCCGGUACCUUGACGGUACCUGACCAGAAAGCCACGGCUAACUACGUGCCAGCCGCCGCCGUAAAAC
rnacentral:rRNA from 1 species